GCCUGAGCAUGUACCGCACAGGGUGUUGGCAGUGCUCCCAAAUCCCAAGAGAGAACCCCUUCCAACAGACCGGCUAGCACCCCGGGCAUUGUGAUUCCUCUGCAGGCCCAUGCCCCAUAUAACCCGGGAGGGCAGCAGGAGCAGGGCUAGCACAGUGAGCACCCAUAAGAAUGGCCAUACUGGGUCAGACCAUUGGUCCGUCUAGUCCAGUAUCUGGUCUUCUGACAGCGGCCAGCACUAGCUGCUUUAGAGGGAGUGGACAGAACAGGUCAACUUCCAAGUGGUCCACUCCCAGCUUCUAGCAGUUAGAGGCUUAGGACACCCAGAGCAUGGAGUUCCAUCUUCCUUCUGAAACACAGCUCAGGAGAACUCUGGAAUGGGAUCUGUUUCAAGUAAGUGGUCUGGGGAAAGAGCAGGGCCAAUGGCCUCCUGUUCAUGUGAUCUGAGAGUGUAGAGUCUUGGUGUGUUCAAAUCGGUCCAGAAGCCUUUCAUUGUGCACUCACACUAGGCUUUUCCUCCUGAGAUGCAGAUGAGCCUGCUGCCACUUCUCCUUUUGUUCUUGGCUUCAAGGCAAACUGUACCUUAAGCGCAAGUCAAAGCUUCUAACCAGAGUUGGUCAUUUACCUGUAGGAAUCUAGCGGUGCCAGUUAUUACAACUUCACCAGAAGUAUUUACCAUGCAAGGGGAUCAGUACAUCAGAGUUUUCCAGAUUUUACUUUCCUGAGUGGUCUGAAGAAAGAUUUUGAUCAGUGGGACGCUCUUGUAGAUGGCGAAGGACAUAAUGUCAUUCCUGGAACCAACACUGAUCUACCCUCAACUCAGCCUGAAUCACUAGAAUGAAGAAACUGAUAAUACUGUGCCUUAGUAGUACUGCUGGUCAUCUACUUCCCACAGCUCUAGCGUUUUUCUUUCUCUUGGCAGUCUCGUUGCACAUUGA